rnacentral:snRNA from 1 species
GUAUUCCAUACGGAAUACAUAUAAUAAAAUUGGAAAGAUACAGAGAAGAUUAGCAUGCGCCCCUGCGCAAGGAUGACACGCAAAAUCGUGAAGCGUUCCACAUUCCC